CAUUUAUCAAGAGUGGCAGAGGGUCAGGCCCUGUGAAGCCCAGCAACCUACAUUUGUAAGGUGCUAAAUCCUGCGGUAUAACCGAAAGAUAAGUU
rnacentral:ncRNA from 13 species